UACGGAGGGGGCUAGCGUUGUUCGGAAUUACUGGGCGUAAAGCGCGCGUAGGCGGAUCUGCAAGUCGGGGGUGAAAUCCCGAGGCUCAACCUCGGAACUGCCUUCGAUACUGCGGGUCUCGAGUCCGGGAGAGGUGAGUGGAAUUCCUAGUGUAGAGGUGAAAUUCGUAGAUAUUAGGAAGAACACCAGUGGCGAAGGCGGCUCACUGGCCCGGUACUGACGCUGAGGCGGCGAAAAGCGUGGGGAGCAAACAGG
rnacentral:rRNA from 1 species